rnacentral:lncRNA from 1 species
GUAAAUCUUCAUCUUUCCCACCGACCACCUGCCACCUUCCCUGGCCACUGCCAUGGCCGGAUCUCUCUCCUCUCUCUUUUCCCUCCCUUUUCCCACCAUUUUGAUCUCCAACAAGGGACUACAUACGGGCUGGAGUUAACGUACGAGGCGAGAUCUAUAGCCGAUGCCCUCUAGAUCUGAUUAUUAUAAGAGGAUCCAAAUCUGAUUAUUAUAAGAGGUUACUAUUUUGUGGGAUUUCACAAUUAUAAGACGAAAAUUAGGCACCCAAUGAUGAACAAACAAUACCAACCUUUGGAUCCUGUUCAAGUUACGAGGAUUUGGUUUACAAAGGCUGUGCAAAUCAAGAUUUCCAAGAUUUCAAUGGGAUUUUCAAGCAAACGCUUAAAAUUCUCUUCGACACAUUAAUCUCCCAAUCUCCACAGCAAAAUUUUACAAAGCCACAUCCGAAGACAGCCAAUUCGCCAUUAAUGGGCUCUUUCAAUGAAUAGGCGAUCUCUCAAAUUCCAACUGCGUGAAAAAAGCCUCUGAAAUAUCCGAAAAGUUUUGUGGUCACUCCAUUGCUAUUAGAGUACAACUAAACGGAUGUUAUUUGAGAUAUGAAAUUGCUAGAUUUAGGCAAGUGAGUGGGAUUGAGUUGCUGUACAAGUUUUGUGGUUCAUUUCGAC